AUCGACAAUUUUAGGUUCAUAGACCAAAUAGAUUUGGAAGAAAAGAGAGUAGAAUCACAAAGAGAAAGAGUCGUUUUGAGAGACAUAGAGAGAAUCGAUUCCUUCGCAAAUGAGACCGAGAGAUGCUUCGAUUUUAGGGUUCAUUAGAGGGGAAAAUAUGAAGUCAAUUUUAGGGUACUAAAGAGGGGGUAAUGUGAAAUCGAUUUUAUGUGAAAUUCGUGGGUUAUACUUUGAUUUAGGAGGUUUCAAUCGAAAAAGAGGGCCACUCUUGGAUUCAGGAUGAGAUUUGCUAGGAAGGUUGAGAAGGACAUUCUUGAAGAAUGACUUGGGAAAUAAGAAAAGGAAGUGUCUCUAUUUAAUUGUAUAACAUGCGAGAAACAGUGUUUUUCUGAAAAUUUAUCAAAUUAUUAACGUAAUUUACUGUUGUUUUCUCUUUUUCUAGUUCUAUGGAGAAUACUCUGAUCAUUAUUGGAUAGCAAAGGAUGACCAUCAUCAGAAGAAGGGUGUAUCGGUUGCUCGAGGAGGGAAAAUGUUGCAGAACAGUACCAACAUCGUUGGUAGUUGCAGAGCUUUUAUCGUCUCUCAUGAUCUUAUGUAAUUGUUUCAUGAGUCAUGACCAUAUAAACAUCACUCUUAUAACAAUUCGAAAACCAGGGAAUGGAAUAUUAUAAGAGACAUGAAAUAUAAUAAGAGAAUUUUAUUCAGAA